AGCAUAAAAGACGUGUAUUAUGAAGUUUUGCACAAGUACUCUGGAGAAAAAAAAAUCAAAGAAUUGUUACUAUGUACUUCGGAAGGUACAUAUUCAAUUAAUUAGCCGAUUAUGUAUCAUGUAAUCAGUGACUCUGUUGAGGUACUGGGCGAUCUAGAACAAUAAAAUUUAUUGCCGGAAAUCCUUUUCCGACGGGUGGUUGCAGUAAAUGAAUCAAAUAGAUACGAAAUGAUAAAGUGAAUUUAGCGACUUCAUGCGAUGCUGUCUUUAGAUAGAUGAUUACAUCGUCUGAAAGCAGUGGAAUUCGCCGAGGAAGAGGAAUCCCAGCUCUUGAAAGAAAUCAUUGAUUUGAUGAAAGCGCCAGUGCGAUGUCAAUGCGGAUAGGACUCUUUCAGGGGGACUCCCUCAGCGCAGUUUGAUUUGUCCUCGUUCUCACAACUUCUGGAGACCUCAUGAUACGGAUAUGGAAUUACUGGAGUGGGUGGCCAAGCAGUCUACUGUACAUGGAUGACCUGAAAGUACGCUACCGGAAGAGAUCAACUCGACUCACAUAAUUCGAUCAAUAUAGUUAGGAGAUACUCGGCAGAUUUAGCCAUUAAAUUCGGUCUCGACAAAUGCUGUAAACAAACCCUCCAUAAAGGUAGGAUUCGAACAACGGAAUUUCGGUAGAGGACGAUACCAAGAUCGAAAGUCUACACGACACUUACAAAUUGCUAGAACAGGGGGCUGGAACAUCAGAAAAAUCGAGGAAAUUAUACGUACAGUUUGUGUGAAGGUUAAAGUUAAUCGCAGUUAGAGGGUUAACUAAUAAAAACUUUCCGAGGACAAUCGACAGUUACUGCAUUGGACUACUGAUGUCUAUUGUGUGGAUAGCUAAUGUGACUAUGGGGUCAUUCAUAUCUCCUGAGGCGUUACAACGUUCGAUUCGCACAACUCUAGCAACCUUUAGGGAAAACCCGACCAGUUGGUGGGCAAGUAGUUAGUUAUAUACCUACCGUUUUACUCGACAAGCAGCUCGCGAAUAAGAAGACAUCCAGACAGCUAAAGUUUUUCCAAGCAUAUGAGAUCACCUCAAAACUUCACUGGAACUACCUAAAUCCUCUAAAGAACUGGGAUCAGACCACGAAGACAUUUCAGGUAACGCGGAAGCAGAUAAAAAAAAAGAGUUGUGUUAUUUUUUGUACGUUUCGGGCUAUUGGCCCUUCUUCAGAAACCCACAUGGACUAAUUAAUGCAUAGUAACUCACGAAC